rnacentral:rRNA from 1 species
GAGUUCUCACUGGAACUUUAAGUUCCCUAAAGGGCCCUAGUAGACUACUAGGUUGAUAGGCUGGGUGUUGAAGAGUAGUAAUACUUGAAGCUAACCAGUACUAAUUACCCGUGAGGUUUGACUAUAUAACAUCCAAG